UUUUUUUUUGUCAAAACCUAUCAACAUGGGAUCUAGUUUUGAAGAUCUCGACGCGAGGAAUCCAAUGGUGAAAACGGUUCGAGAUUUGGACGCACGGUUUAAGAGAUAAAACGUUUUGAAUAAAUGGAUCUAUGAAAAAAGGAAAAACUCCUAGGUUGCGACAAGUGGCGCGCUGCAUGUGCGCCACUUAUCACAACCUGGAAAGGUGAAGUGUUCUUUGCAACGAGUACUUUUUAAUUAGUGAUUUCGUCCAAACAACCAAAAAAAUAAUAAUAAAAAGAAUCAGGCUGGACGUGCUCCUUACGAGGCCAAAACGAGACAAACCGACUACCAUCGCGAAUCUUGAAGAACCAAUAACGAUCACACUGAGAAAAAAAAUGAUCACACUAAGAUUUAUUUAUUUAUUUGGAAAAAAAACUUUUAAUUUAUUCAUCGUCAAUCAUGGCAGUUUAACGAACAACAAAAAUAAUAAAAAUUACAUCUAGACUCAUAGACCACCUAGCGUCGACUACAAGGACUGAAGCGAGUCGAAGGCUCACCGCCGUCAUCGCCCCUCCAUCGCCGGAGUCUGGCACAACUUCUUGUAGUAGACAGUCGAGAAGUCGUCGUGUUAAGGCCCCAUAGGACCAGCGCACCAGAACAUCAACCACCGCCGAUGAAGAAUAACGUAGAUCGGAAGGAUCCAACCCAAAGACACACGAUCGUAGACGAACAACGACGAGAUCCAAGCAAAUCCACGAAAGAUAGAUCCGCCGGAGACACACCUCCACACGCCCCACCAACGAUGCUAGACGCACCGCUGGAAUGGGGGCUAGGCGGGGAGACUUUUAUUCCAUCUUCAGGGAGCCGCCGCCGUCUCGACUUUCUAAGCAUAACACAAACCCUAACAAAACGGAAAGAAAGGAUAAAAAUCGAAGCCCUUUCGCCGGCCCUUGUCAGGAUCCACCACGCCCCCAUGGCCCUAAGGCCCUCACACUGAGAUUUAGUAGGGCCGUUGAAAAAAUUAUUCGUGGAGUAAGUCCUAAUUACGUAGUAUGAGAAAUAGAAGAUGGAUGGAGGAGAGACACAUUGACAUGUGGUGGAGGGAGAUACGACCACUGAGAUGUGGGCCCCACACAUCAGAUGUAUAUUGGGCAUCCGUUGCAACACCUUCACUGAUAAUCCAAACAAUGUUAGUCGGACAGUAACACCGUAUUAGAAAUUAAUUAUUGAGCAUAUGUUGGAGAUGCUCUAAGACCCAUGUUAAUCCAUCCCAAUGGAAUAUUAUCUAUGUGAGGACUGACGUGAUCAAACAAUUUGGUGUUUGAUGUCACAAAUCUUUCAGAACAAGACCAGAUUAGAUGCCAACUCCCCAACUACAAAAUUUUGGCCCGUCCUCAUCCAAAAAAUUACCUAAGAUGAUAAGUCGAGACGAGAAAGGGAAGGAGACUUUACAUUAGUACUCCUUAAAAUGUUUUGGAUAUUUUAAUUUAAACUACAUACGAAUUGAAAUAAGUGAACAAACACACUAAAAUGUGUCCUCAUAAAAAACACUAAGGCUGCGUUUGGCACCACAGUAUUUUUGAAGUUUUCAAAAAAAAACAUGAUAUUUUUAGAAACCACGGUUAAAAUACUUUGAUGCGUUUGGCGUCAACAAAUACUCCAGUUUACAGAACCAUGGUAUCUCUAAAACCAUGGUUUUUUCACGGUAUUAAAAAAGAGGUCUGGACCUCUUUUUUUAAAACAGAGAAAUGAUCGCUCUCGUCGGUCUUUCAACUUCAUCUUUCGGCCGUCAACUAGUGUGAUUAUACUUCAUUUCUCUGUAGCUAUGAAUAAACAAUUAAAGCUCGACACAUGGGAAGGAAGGUACGCGCCCUUGUACGCCUACUUUGUUGUUGAUCUCGUCAAUUGCUCUGCAUAGCGUUGCAUGCAUACAUCAGCCGUGAGCACAAGCUGGUCAGAUCGUGUAGCUGAGUUUGGUUCAGCUCGAUAUCUUCAGGGUUGUCCAUGCAACCUAACAACAGGUGACAAUUGGAGAAAACAAAACAAAAACGAUUUGGCAAACGCCUCAAUGGUUUUGCCAAAGCCACGAAAAACUGCGGUUUUUAGAUACUGAAGUAUUCAACGUCCACGCGUUGGAAUACCGAGAUUUUGUAAUACUACAGUUUUAGAUAAACUGUGCUGCCAAACUAGGCCUUAUAUUUAUAUACAUCUGAUCUAGAAAAAAAAGUUAGAACAUCUUAUAUUUGUGAAGGGAGUACCAUUUUCAACUUAGUUCAUGGCUGCAUAUUCAUUAAAAAUGCACGUCUCCAAGUGCAAACAAAUGUGGUGACUGCCAUGCGUAGAUGCCAUGAAUCCAACCCACCGAGAACAAUUUUCUUCUCCGAUAACAAGUUCACCCUCGGAAGUAGGAACUCGCCGAGCACAAGACAAGUUCAUUUUCCACACAAUAUGCUAGGCACGUCACCACAUGAGUUUCUGAUAUCUAAGCAGUAGUUAUUCUAUGCACCACAAGUGCACAACACAAAUCAUCCUUAACUGAACCUGAGACACGAAGCUAGAUCGUACUUUUAACUCUAACAGCGAUCGAUGCUCCGGCGCCCGGCGGCGACGUCCCCAACGCAAGAGGCGCCGCCACCAGCCCGACACGCCGGCCG
rnacentral:lncRNA from 1 species